AAUCAACGCUGGCGGCGUGCCUCAGACAUGCAAGUCGAACGCGAAAGCCCCCUUCGGGGGGCAAGUAGAGUGGCGCACGGGUGAGUAACACGUAGGUAAUCUACCUUUGGAUGGGGAAUAACAACCGGAAACGGUUGCUAAUACCGCAUAAUGCAGCGGCACCUAAUGGUGACAGUUGUUAAAGCGGGGGAUCGCAAGACCUCGCGUCUGAAGAGGAGCCUGCGGCAGAUUAGCUAGUUGGUAGGGUAACGGCUUACCAAGGCGAUGAUCUGUAGCCGGCCUGAGAGGGCGGUCGGCCACACUGACACUGACAUACGGGUCAGACUCCUACGGGAGGCAGCAGUCGGGAAUUUUGGGCAAUGGGCGAAAGCCUGACCCAGCAACGCCGCGUGAAGGAUGAAAUCCCUCGGGAUGUAAACUUCGCAAGAACGGGAAGAAUAAGUCGGUGUUAACACCACCGGCGAUGACGGUACUGUUUGUAAGCUCCGGCUAACUCCGUGCCAGCAGCCGAC
rnacentral:rRNA from 1 species